rfam:Fabibacter misakiensis strain SK-8 scaffold3_cov71_read188, whole genome shotgun sequence.
AAGGGAGGUGCCGAAAACCCUGAAAUAGAGUAGGUA